GCGGUACAGAAAGUAGCUUGCUACUUUGCUGACGAGCGGCGGACGGGUGAGUAAUGCUUGGGAACAUGCCUUGAGGUGGGGGACAACAGUUGGAAACGACUGCUAAUACCGCAUAAUGUCUACGGACCAAAGGGGGCUUCGGCUCUCGCCUUUAGAUUGGCCCAAGUGGGAUUAGCUAGUUGGUGAGGUAAUGGCUCACCAAGGCGACGAUCCCUAGCUGGUUUGAGAGGAUGAUCAGCCACACUGGGACUGAGACACGGCCCAGACUCCUACGGGAGGCAGCAGUGGGGAAUAUUGCACAAUGGGCGCAAGCCUGAUGCAGCCAUGCCGCGUGUGUGAAGAAGGCCUUCGGGUUGUAAAGCACUUUCAGUCAGGAGGAAAGGUUAGUAGUUAAUACCUGCUAGCUGUGACGUUACUGACAGAAGAAGCACCGGCUAACUCCGUGCCAGCAGCCGCGGUAAUACGGAGGGUGCGAGCGUUAAUCGGAAUUACUGGGCGUAAAGCGUACGCAGGCGGUUUGUUAAGCGAGAUGUGAAAGCCCCGGGCUCAACCUGGGAACUGCAUUUCGAACUGGCAAACUAGAGUGUGAUAGAGGGUGGUAGAAUUUCAGGUGUAGCGGUGAAAUGCGUAGAGAUCUGAAGGAAUACCGAUGGCGAAGGCAGCCACCUGGGUCAACACUGACGCUCAUGUACGAAAGCGUGGGGAGCAAACGGGAUUAGAUACCCCGGUAGUCCACGCCGUAAGCGAUGUCUACUAGAAGCUCGGAGCCUCGGUUCUGUUUUUCAAAGCUAACGCAUUAAGUAGACCGCCUGGGGAGUACGGCCGCAAGGUUAAAACUCAAAUGAAUUGACGGGGGCCCGCACAAGCGGUGGAGCAUGUGGUUUAAUUCGAUGCAACGCGAAGAACCUUACCUACACUUNNNAUACAGAGAACNNNNNNNNGAUGGUUUGGUGCCUU
rnacentral:rRNA from 1 species